UACAGAGGUCUCAAGCGUUGUUCGGAUUCAUUGGGCGUAAAGGGUGCGUAGGCGGCUUGUUAAGUAGGGUGUGAAAGCCCCCAGCUCAACUGGGGAACUGCACUCUAUACUGGCGAGCUGGAGUGAGAUAGGGGUGUGUGGAACUGCCAGUGGAGCGGUGAAAUGUGUUGAUAUUGGCAGGAACGCCGGUGGCGAAAGCGACACACUGGGUCUCAACUGACGCUGAGGCACGAAAGCCAGGGGAGCCGAACGGG
rnacentral:rRNA from 1 species